GAAAUGCGAUAAGUAGUGUGAAUUGCAGAAUUCAGUGAAUCAUCGAAUCUUUGAACGCACAUUGCGCCCCUUGGUAUUCCAUGGGGCAUGCCUGUUCGAGCGUCAUUUGUACCCUCAAGCUCUGCUUGGUGUUGGGUGUUUGUCCCCGUCUCCGCGCGUGGACUCGCCCCAAAGUGAUUGGCAGCCGGCGUACUGGUCCCGGAGCGCAGCACAUGUCGCGCAAACGAGUGCCUUGGUACGGCGGCGUCCAUAAGCCCCUCUCUCACGCUCUUGACCUCGGAACAGGUAGAGAUACGCGCUGAACAUAAGC
rnacentral:misc_RNA from 1 species